CGUAAUCAGUGCUCACUGCUCAGGUAGAGUGGGGGAGGUGAUAAGAAGGCAGAGUGAAGGGACAGAGGCACAUGGAGAGCACACCAGCAGCACACUUAAACCAUUUUUCUCCACAAGCAGGAAGCACAUGAUGCUGAAAUUGAAAAUGCAGUGAGAGGUCUUCUCAGCUGCAUCCGGAACUUGAAAAAAUCAAAUACGGAGAGGCCUAGCAGUUCUGUUGACCUAAGGCCCAUGGAAUCUCAGGCUGGAACUAGCAGUUCCGUUGAGGUUAACAACCCUGUUCAUCGGGAAAUGCAAAGAUCUUUUCCAGCAAUAUAUGCUGGAAGCCGGGCACGCCAUAAAAGAAAGGCACCUGAACCUCCAAGACCAACAUGUUCGAAAGUAAUAGAACUCCAGUUCUGCCUGCAGCCCGAAAACUCCGAUGGGACACCAAAAGAC